rnacentral:rRNA from 1 species
GACGAACGCUGGCGGCGUGCCUAAUACAUGCAAGUCGAGCGAAGUUUUUCUGGUGCUUGCACUAGAAAAACUUAGCGGCGAACGGAUGAGUAACACGUAAAGAACCUGCCUCAUAGACUGGGACAACUAUUGGAAACGAUAGCUAAUACCGGAUAACAGUAUUUCUCGCAUGAGAGAUAUUUAAAAGUUGGUUAUGCUAACACUAUGAGAUGGCUUUGCGGUGCAUUAGCUAGUUGGUGGGGUAAAGGCCCACCAAGGCGACGAUGCAUAGCCGACCUGAGAGGGUGAUCGGCCACACUGGGACUGAGACACGGCCCAGACUCCUACGGGAGGCAGCAGUAGGGAAUCUUCCGCAAUGGGCGAAAGCCUGACGGAGCAACGCCGCGUGAGUGAAGAAGGAUUUCGGUUCGUAAAGCUCUGUUGUUAGGGAAGAAUGGAUAUGUAGUAACUAUACAUGUAAGAGACGGUACCUAACCAGAAAGCCACGGCUAACUACGUG